UACGGAGGAUGCGAGCGCUAUCCGGAUUUAUUGGGUUUAAAGGGUGCGUAGGCGGAGUGCCAAGUCAGCGGUAAAAAUUCGGGGCUCAACCCCGUCGUGCCGUUGAAACUGGCGCCCUUGAGUGGGCGAGAAGUAUGCGGAAUGCGUGGUGUAGCGGUGAAAUGCAUAGAUAUCACGCAGAACCCCGAUUGCGAAGGCAGCAUACCGGCGCCCGACUGACGCUGAAGCACGAAAGCGUGGGUAUCGAACAGG
rnacentral:rRNA from 1 species